rnacentral:rRNA from 1 species
AGUGAACGCUGGCGGUAGGCCUAACACAUGCAAGUCGAACGGCAGCACAGUAAUAGCUUGCUCUUACGGGUGGCGAGUGGCGUACGGGUGAGGUAUACAUCGUAAUCUACUUUUUCGUGGGUGUUAACGUAGGUAAACUUACGCUAAUACCGCAUACGACCUACGGGUGAAAGCAGUGGAUCUUCGGACCUUGCGCGAUUGUAUGAGCCGAUGUCGGAUUAGCUAGUUGGCUGGGUAAAGUCCCACCAAGGCGACGAUCCGUAUCUGGUCUGAGAGGAUGAACAGACACACUGGAAGUGAGACACGGUACAGACUACUACGGGAGGCAGCAGUGGGGAAUAUUGGACAAUGGGGGAAAGCAUGAUCCAGCAAUACCGCGUGGGUGAAGAAGGACUGCGGGUUGUAAAGACAUUUUGUUGGGAAAGAAAAGAAGCAGGUUAAUAAACAGAUGUAAUGACGGUACCCAAAGAAUAAGCACCGGCUAACUACGUG